rnacentral:rRNA from 1 species
GACGAACGCUGGCGGCGUGCCUAAUACAUGCAAGUAGAACGCUGAAGGAGGAGCUUGCUUCUCUGGAUGAGUUGCGAACGGGUGAGUAACGCGUAGGUAACCUGCCUGGUAGCGGGGGAUAACUAUUGGAAACGAUAGCUAAUACCGCAUAACAGUAGAUAUCGCAUGAUAUCUACUUGAAAGGUGCAAUUGCAUCACUACCAGAUGGACCUGCGUUGUAUUUGCUAGUUGGUGAGGUAACGGCUCACCAAGGCGACGAUACAUAGCCGACCUGAGAGGGGGAUCUGCCACCCUGGGACUGCGACACGGCCCAGACUCCUGCGGGAGGCAGCAGUAGGGAAUCUUCGGCAAUGGACGGAAGUCUGACCGAGCGACGCCGCGUGAGUGAAGAAGGUUUUCGGAUCGUAAAGCUCUGUUGUUAGGGAAGAACGAGUGUGAGAGUGGAAAGUUCACACUGUGACGGUAUCUUACCAGAAAGGGACGGCUAACUACGUG